GUUAAAUCACGCUGAAACACCGGUUCUCGUUCGAUCACCGAAGUUAAGCAUCGUAGAGCCAGGUCAGUACUUAGAUGGGGGACCGCUUGGGAACACCUGGUACUGUAAG